rnacentral:rRNA from 1 species
CAGUCGCCACGGUAAUACGAAGGGGGCUAGCGUUGCUCGGAAUGACUGGGCGUAAAGGGCGCGUAGGCGGCGAUCAAAGUCAGGCGUGAAAUUCCUGGGCUCAACCUGGGGGCUGCGUUUGAUACUUGAUUGCUAGAGUGGGGAAGAGGGUCGUGGAAUUCCCAGUGUAGAGGUGAAAUUCGUAGAUAUUGGGAAGAACACCGGUGGCGAAGGCGGCGACCUGUCCUUGACUGACGCUGAGGCGCGAAAGCGUGGGGAGCAAACAGGAUUAGAUACCCCAGUAGUCCCUGUCUCUUAUACA